UAGUGUCACCCACACAGGAUGGAACUGCUA
rnacentral:piRNA from 1 species